AACGAACGCUGGCGGCAUGCCUAACACAUGCAAGUCGAACGAGACCUUCGGGUCUAGUGGCGCACGGGUGCGUAACGCGUGGGAACCUGCCCUUAGGUUCGGAAUAACUCCCCGAAAGGGGUGCUAAUACCGGCUAAUGUCUUCGGACCAAAGAUUUAUCGCCUUUGGAUGGGCCCGCGUUGGAUUAGCUAGUUGGUAGGGUAAAAGCCUACCAAGGCGACGAUCCAUAGCUGGUCUGAGAGGAUGAUCAGCCACACUGGGACUGAGACACGGCCCAGACUCCUACGGGAGGCAGCAGUGGGGAAUAUUGGACAAUGGGCUAAAGCCUGAUCCAGCAAUGCCGCGUGAGUGAUGAAGGCCUUAGGGUUGUAAAGCUCUUUUACCCGGGAUGAUAAUGACAGUACCGGGAGAAUAAGCUCCGGCUAACUCCGUG
rnacentral:rRNA from 1 species